rnacentral:rRNA from 1 species
GCAGUCCCGCGGGAAUACGUAGGGUGCAAGCGUUAAUCGGAAUUACUGGGCGUAAAGCGUGCGCAGGCGGUUAUAUAAGACAGAUGUGAAAUCCCCGGGCUCAACCUGGGAACUGCAUUUGUGACUGUAUAGCUAGAGUACGGCAGAGGGGGAUGGAAUUCCGCGUGUAGCAGUGAAAUGCGUAGAUAUGCGGAGGAACACCGAUGGCGAAGGCAAUCCCCUGGGCCUGUACUGACGCUCAUGCACGAAAGCGUGGGGAGCAAACAGGAUUAGAUACCCGUGUAGUCCCUGUCUCUUAUACA